rnacentral:rRNA from 1 species
AUUGAACGCUGGCGGCAGGCUUAACACAUGCAAGUCGAGCGGGGGAAGGUAGCUUGCUACCGGACCUAGCGGCGGACGGGUGAGUAAUGCUUAGGAAUCUGCCUAUUAGUGGGGGACAACAUCUCGAAGGGGAUGCUAAUGCCGCAUACGUCCUACGGGAGAAAGCAGGGGAUCUUCGGACCUUGCGCUAAUAGAUGAGCCUAAGUCGGAUUAGCUAGUUGGUGGGGUAAAGGCCUACCAAGGCGACGAUCUGUAGCGGGUCUGAGAGGAUGAUCCGCCACACUGGGACUGGGACACGGCCCAGACUCCUACGGGAGGCAGCAGUGGGGAAUAUUGGACAAUGGGGGAACCCUGAUCCAGCCAUGCCGCGUGUGUGAAGAAGGCCUUAUGGUUGUAAAGCACUUUAAGCGAGGAGGAGGCUACUCUAGUUAAUACCUAGGGAUAGUGGACGUUACUCGCAGAAUAAGCACCGGUUAACUCUGUGCCAGCCGCCGCCGUAACAC